AUGCCAAUUUUCAUAAGGUAUAUGUGUACCACUUUACUAGUAUUGUUGACAUAUUCCAUUAUUUUUUUAAUCCCAUUUAUAUGCAUUGCGGUUCCUAACAUACUUACCCACAUGAAACAACCAUCUCAUAUGUUUCUCACAGAUGAAAUGAAUCCAAGUGUGAAUUCUUCUAGUUUGAUUUCGCAAAAUGCGAUUCCUAACAUUUUUAUCCACAUGUCUCGUAUGUUGCCUAUAUUCGCACACUUCUUUCUUUAUUCACCUUUCCUAAAAAAAACCCGUUCACCUAAUUGUGAUUCUUAA
rnacentral:rRNA from 1 species